ensembl:lncRNA
UGAGGCCCAUGCUAUAGAUUACUGUAUGUUGAGGUCACUAUUGAAUGAGGCCCAUGCUAUAGAUUACUGUAUGUUGAGGUCACUAUUGAAUGAGGCCCAUGCUAUAGAUUACUGUAUGUUGAGUUCAACUAUUGAAUGAGGCCCAUGCUAUAGAUUACUGUAAAGGGGAAGAUGGUGGGUAACACCUGGAGGGGGGUGGAGACAAGCAUAAAGACAGGUGAAACAGGUGACACUUGGCAUUUUCUCAACCGGCUUCAUGAGGAAUUAUUUUUCAACAGUCUUGAAGGAGUUCCCACGUAUGCUGAGCACUUGUUGGCUGCUUUUACUUCACUCAUCUCAAUUGGGUUGAGGUCAGGUGAUUGUGGAGGUCAGGUCAUUUGAUGCAGCACUCCAUCACUUAGCCUGGAGGUGUGUUGGGUCAUUGUCCUGUUAAAAAACAAAUGAUAGUCCCACUAAGCGCAAACCAGAUGGGAUGGUUUAUCGCUGCAGAAUGCUUUGGAAUCCAUGCCUUCAAUUCUAAAUAAAUCACUGACAGUGUCACCAGCAAAGCACCCGGCAGGGUAGCCUAGUGGUUAGAGAGUUGGACUAGGAACCGGAAGGUUGCAAGUUCAAACCCCUGAGCUGACAAGGUACUAAUCUGUCGUUCUGCCCCUGAACAGGCAGUUAACCCACUGUUCCCAGGCCGUCAUUGAAAAUAAGAAUUUGUUCUUAACUGACUUGCCUGGUUAAAUAAAGGUCAAAUUUCAAUUUAGAAAACACCUCCUUGCUUCGUGGUGGGAACCACACAUGCGGAGAUCAUCCGUUCACCUACUCUGCAUCUCACAAAGACUUGGCGGUUGGAAUCAAAAAUCUCAAAUUUGGACUCAUCAGACUAAAGGAUGCAUCACCAGGAGCAAACUACCUGCCCUCCAGGACACCUACACCACCCGAUGUCACAGGAAAGCCAAAAAGAUCAUCAAGGACAACAACCACCCGAGCCACUGCCUGUUCACCCCGCUAUCAUCCAGAAGGUGAGGUCAGUACAGGUGCAUCAAAGCUGGGAACGAGAGACUGAACAACAGCUUAAGGCCAUCAGACCGUAAACAGCCAUCACUAACACAAAGAGGCUGCUGCCUACAUACAGACUUGGCCACUUUAAAAUCAUUGGCCACUUUAAUAAAUGGAACACUAGUCACUUUAAUAAUGUUUACAUAUCUUGCAUUACUCAUCUCAUACUGUAUUAUCUACUGUAUCUUAGCCUAUGCUGCUCUGACAUUGCUCGUCCAUAUAUUAUAUAUUCCUAAUUCCUUUACUUAGAUUUGUGUGUUGGGCAUAUGUUGUGAAAUUGUUAGAUACUACUGCACUGUUGGAGCGAGAAACACAAGCAUUUCGCUACACCUGCAAUAACAUCGCCUAAACAUGUGACCAAUAAUUGUUGAUUUGAACAGUUGAUGUUGAUGUGUCUUUUACUUGAACUCUGAAGCAUUUAUUUGUGCUGCAAUCUAAGGUGCAAUUAGACCUAUCUUCUGCAGCAGAGGUAACUGGGUCUUCCUUUCCUGUGCCGGUCCUCAUGAGAGCCAGUUUCAUCAUAGCGCUUGAUGGUUUUUGCAACUGCACUUGAAGAAACUGUCAAAGUUCUUGACAUUUUCUGGAUUGACUGACCUUCAUGUCUUAAAGUAAUGAUGGACUGUCGUCUCUCUUUGCUUAUUUGAGCUGUUCUUGCCAUAAUAUGGACUUUAUGGUAUUUUACCAAAUAGGGCUAUCUUCUGUAUACCAACCCUACCUUGUCACAACAAAACUGAUUGGUUCAAAUACAUUAAGAAGGAAAGAAAUUCCACAAAUUAUCUUUUAACAAGGCUCACCUGUUAAUUUAAAUGCAUUCCAGGUGACUACAUAAUGAUGCUGGUUGAGAGAAUGCCAAGAGUGUGCAACGCUGUCAUCAAUGCAAAUAUAAAAUAUAUUUUGAUUUGUUUAACACUUUUUUGGUUACUAUAUGAUUCCAUAUGUGUUAUUUCAUAGUUUUGAUGUCUUCACUAUUAUUCUACAAUGUAGAAAAUAGUUUUAAAAAAUAAAUAAAAACCCUUGAAUGAAUAGGCGUGUCCAAACUUUUGACUGGUACUGUGUAGUGCCCAGUUUCGUGAUAACAGGGACAUCAGCUGCAGGCAUCAUCUUUCACCAACCUGCUCCUUCAAUUCAAAGCCACAUUUUCUUGCAGCUCAAUCAAGUCCAUCUGCAGUGAUGCAACAUCUACCCAUCUGAAGAUCUGUUUUGCGUCUUCUCCUUUUUUUGGGGUCACAUAUUUGUGACCAAAAAAGGGUUUCUGAGCUGCAGCAGUUCUCUUCCAGCCGUGAUGUCAUCAAAGCGAGCCUUGACGUUAUUCAUCAGCUUCUGGAUGUAAUCAAACAUGGAACAUCUUUGUCUCCCUGCUUUGCACCAGAAGAUCUGCGAAGUGGACAAGUUCUCUCUGGAGAUAAUUCUUGAAAAGCUCCCAAUGUCUUCUGGGAAGCCCGGACUGCUGUUAUCAUAUCACUGUUCUCCCGUCCCUGCAGCUUAACGUUCAGUUGAUUUAAGAUGUGAUGUAAUGUCUGUCAAAAAUCCAACUGUUUCCAUCUUCUCCUCAUCUUCCAAAAACUCAGAAGACUGGAGUUGCCUUGUGACUCUUUUGUCCUGAAUGUCCCAAAAGCAUUCCAAAACCCUGCCUUUGCUGAGCCAUCUGACAUUGUCGUCCAGUAGUAGGUCAUUAAAACUAGCAUUGGCCUCGGUCAGAAAGCCUCGUAGCAGGCGGUGUUGUAGGGAUGAUGAUGAUGCCCUCAAAAAAAGUUGAUCAGUUUCAUCAUCGUUGUCAUGACCUCAGAAUACUCUUUUCCCAGACUGACACACAGGACAGAUUGAUGUCAGGUGCUCCUCUUUCAAACGUGUAGGCAGUCCCCUUCCUGUCAUGUCUGGACCUCCAUCUGUGGUGAUGGAGAACACUGACUUCAGAUCUCUCCCCCUUUUUGUCAGCAUCUUUGAUGUCCUCAUGGAUAUCCUGUCCCCUGUGUGUGUGUUUCUAGAUGUGUUAAGCCCAACAGCUCCUCACAGAAUCUAAGGGGUCAAAUACUUAUUUCCCUCAUUAAAAUGCAAAUCAAUUUCUAACAUUCUUGACAUGCGUUUUUCUGGAUGUUUUUGUUGUUAUUCUGUCUCUCACUGUUCAAAUAAAUCUACCAUUAAAAUUAUAGACGGAUAAUUUCUUUGUCAGUGGGCAAACGUACAAAAUCAGCAGGGGAUCAAAUACUUUUCCCCCCUCACUGUAUCUCAACACCAUCCAUUUCUAUUUGACAUAUAUAUUUCAACUGUGCUGUGAUGUUUCACAAAAGUACUGAACCUUUCUAUUCUCAUAGCUUCUACAGAUUGUAAAUUAAAGAUGAAAUGUUUCGCUAAAAUGAUUAUUAUAUUAUUGAUAGAUUGACUAUGACUUUUCAAAUCACCCACUAUUGUUAUCUGCCGAGUUAGCUCCAGGUAAAUGUUGCAAUUCCUCAGACAUUCCUGGACCCGUGACCAAAAACAAGCUACAUAUGGACAGUACCAAAAUAAAUGAUCUAAUGAUUCUCUUUGCAGGAAAAUGUGCAAAGCUGGUAAGGUUAUAUCCCCCUUAUAUAUAAACACCCCCCUUCCACUUGCCUCUUCCAUUUUUGCAGUAGUCCUGCAAUUAGUUGGUUGUAGUUUUUGUUAGCUGGAUGUGUGACAUAACUUCACAAGUCCUAUUUAUGAUAUAAUUUACAAAGAUUAUACUAUUUAUUUUAUUAUUAUUUUAUGUUUUUAUCAAUUAGUAUAUUUGAGUUUAACCACAACACUAGGAAGUGUCUUGGUGGUUCCAAAAUUCAUUGAUUUAAGAAUGAUGGAGGCCCCUGUGUUCUUGGGAACCUUCAAUGCUGCAGAAAUGUAUUGGUACCCUUCCCCAGAUCUGUGCCUCGACACAAUCCUGUCUCGGAGCUCUACCGACAAGUCCUUCGACCUCAUGGCUUGGUUUUUGCUCUGACAUGCACUGUCAACUGUAGGACCUUUAUAUAGACAGGUUGUGUGCCUUUCCAAAUCAUGUCCAAUCAAUUGAAUUUACCACAGGUGGACUCCAAUCAAGUUGUAGAAACAUCUCAAGGAUGAUCAAUGGAAACAGGAUGCACCUGAGCUCAAUAUCGAGUCUCAUAGCAAAGGGUCUGAAUACUUAUGUAAAUAUAUUGUAAAUUAUUACAAUACUUAUUAUGUAAAUAAGGUAUUUCUGUUUUGUAUUUUUUUAUUUUAUAAAUGUUUUUAUAUAUUUGUAAACAUUUCUAAAAACCUAUGUUAGCUUAGUCAUUGUGGGGUGUUGUGUGUAAAUGUAUGAGGAAUAAAUGAAUGUAAUCCAUUUUAGUAUAAGGCUGUAACGUAACAAAAUGUGUAAAAAAGGAGAAGGGGUCUGAAUACUGUACGUAUUAUGUAUAAAUAUCUACUGUUCCAUUUGUACUUACAAACAUUUUGUCGUUUUUUAAGGAACAAUGCAAUUUGUGGCCUGACGGACUGUCUGAAAAUAAAGGUCAUUAUGAAUAAACAGCUACGGUUGGUUUCCC